rnacentral:misc_RNA from 1 species
GUAACCUUUCAAUUUCAGAUCAAAGUUGAAAUUUUCGUUUGACAAUUGGAAAAUUCAUCUGCAUCAACACAGCAUAUCAAUUAAUAACUGGUCAGGUUUCACACAUGAAAUUAAAGAUUCAUUUGCAUUGCAUAUGAAAGUACUCUUUUCAGCAUUCUGGACAGAAACAAACGUCUAAACAUUGACUAAAAGUUUCAAGAAUACUGGAUCCAAUCAACAGUUCAUCAUUUAGUCUCGCUCGCUUAUAGCAGUCAAGUGCUCAUCAAUCUCCUCAGUGGACAACAUUCUGAAGUCGGGGUUCUCCUUCCUCACCACUCCAACCUCAAUCUCAGUGGCCUUAAAAUCCUCCUGUAGAACUGAUUGCAGGGCAGAGAUUGCAGUCUAUACAUGAAAGCAAUGCAAUGACAUGAGACUUUAGAGGGAAGAAUCAUGAAGAAUAUAAUUGCAUGCUAUGUUGACUAGACUAUUUUAAGUGGUAUAAUGCUCAGUCUAAACAAGGCAUAUUAUAAAUAGAUCUCCAACAUGAAUGUGUGGUGAUUGACCCCAUUCCUUCAGUUUCUUUCAUCGUCAGCACUUAGUAGCAGAAAGACAAACUGUAACAAGAUGCAUGCAAGCAUAUGUGCGUGCAGCAUGCAUGCAAGCAUAUGUGCACUUGUGUUUAUGUAGAAAGAUGCAUGCACAUGAAAAAUUAGCACCUCAAAACAAGACAUCAAAAAAUAAAGACCCAUCAAAUAUCAAGCAUUAAUCUUGAGUCUAGAAGUUCUGUAGUUCAUUUCCCAAAGUUACAUGACUAGAAAUGGCUGUCAAAUCAUUUUCUAUUCAUGGAAUGAUGGCAAUUGUUGAAACAAGACAAUAAGACAACUGUGCCUGUGAUUGGAUUGGACUAACUAAAUGACAAAUAAAAUCAAUAUGGUGCGGAAAUCUAUACAUUCAUUAAAAAAAAAAAAACUUGGGAGUCAAAAACUCUCAUAUAAGAAUAUAAUUCCAUUUUGAUUUUAUGAAUGCUUGAGCAAAAAGGCAAAUAAGUUGAACCAGCCAAUUAUUCACGUCAUUGAUCAUGAUAAACAGUAACAUCAGUGCUUUUCAGAAAAGGAAAAACUUAAUAAUCUGCAGAUUUUGCUCGUGACCAAAGCAUAGAAAACUGAUAAAAUAGGAGUAAGAACUUCAGCCUAAUCAUACGGGAGUAGUGAUUUCAGCCACAUCAUAAUUCUUACAAAUAUGAAGUACUAGAAACUACCUGCACUGUUUCCUCGUAGGUAAAUUGAGGAUCAUUCUUCAUUUUCUUCUCCAAGAAAUUAAUUGCUUCUUGUUCUUUUAAUCCUGCACUUGUAGCCUAAACAAUUGAACUUAUUUCUUAGGCAUGAAAUUUUACUUCAGUAAAGGUAGAGACAGGGAGGAAAAGCUGCAGCCAUUUCAGAACAGUUGAAUAAUAGUAAUAUACAUCAAUGCUGUUACAUUCAAUAAUUUAAAUUGGGCAGGCAAGUGCUGGACAAACAUAUUCAUAAAGCAUCCAUAACUCUCCCGGUGAAUGUGAAAUGAUCAAUUAGUAACUCGCAAAGAAAGUAAACUAAAUCUGCUAAUUAAAUUCUCGAACAACAGGUGAUUAUGACCAAACAAUUGCAGUG